ACUCCUACGGGAGGCAGCAGUAGGGAAUCUUCCACAAUGGGCGAAAGCCUGAUGGAGCAACGCCGCGUGGGUGACGAAGGUCUUCGGAUCGUAAAACCCUGUUGUUAGAGAAGAAAGUGCGUGAGAGUAACUGUUCACGUUUCGACGGUAUCUAACCAGAAAGCCACGGCUAACUACGUGCCAGCAGCCGCGGUAAUACGUAGGUGGCAAGCGUUAUCCGGAUUUAUUGGGCGUAAAGGGAACGCAGGCGGUCUUUUAAGUCUGAUGUGAAAGCCUUCGGCUUAACCGGAGUAGUGCAUUGGAAACUGGGAGACUUGAGUGCAGAAGAGGAGAGUGGAACUCCAUGUGUAGCGGUGAAAUGCGUAGAUAUAUGGAAGAACACCAGUGGCGAAAGCGGCUCUCUGGUCUGUAACUGACGCUGAGGUUCGAAAGCGUGGGUAGCAAACAGGA
rnacentral:rRNA from 1 species